CACCGCUCCUGAGAUAAGGCCUCGUCAAUGGCCAGUCGAACUCGCCUUCAAGGCUGCUAUACAGAGUGAGAGAGAUAGAACGGAGAAACUUCUGGCGGAGGCGGUGCAGAGGCAGCAGGAGUUGUAGGAGAGGACGACAAAGAUGUUGGAGGAGGAGAGGGCACAGAAUGACAUGCAGGCAAGGGCCAUGUACGAGCUCCUUGUGUCUGUGUGCGAGAAGUCCUGUCAGACCGCUCCACCGAUGCCAGUGAUUGC